rnacentral:lncRNA from 1 species
GAAAUGACUUACUGCAAAGAACCACUCUUCCCCACGAGACUUCGAGAAGACCCGCUGUCACGGACUGAGUUGUGUCCUCUUAAAAUUCAGAUGUUGGAGUCCAAACCCCCAGUAACUCAGAGUGUGAACGUAUUUGAAGAGGUCUUUAAAGAGGUGAUGAAGGGAGAGAGACCCCAUGAGCUCGUCAAGCUCCUUCUGUGACUGAUCAGAGAUCCCACCGUGAGUCCAGCUCCUGGUCCCAUGCUCUGGAUAUAUCGGUCCCUGGCAGCGUGAGUGCCUCUGUGUUCACUGUCCCAUUUGAGAAUUCUAAGUAGAAUUCUGAACAGGCUGGAGCAGAUUGCCCACCCCAAGGGACAGAUGUUGGCUGGUACUGUUGGUAUUCAUGGAAGAUUCCUUCUGACACUCCCUCCUUCUUUGUAAUUGCCAUGAACUGGAGCACUGGGCCAAUAUAAAUCAUCCAAGGGUGAACACGCUGCACAUGGACGGCUCCUCUUUGUUUUUGAAGGGAUUCCAUCUCUAUUUUGC